ACGACAGCGCCAAAAAACAAACAUUUGUAUUUAGCUCAACUUAGCAAAUACAUUCAUAGUAUUUAAAAAAUAUGGAGAAGAUUGAUUCAGUUGAAGUUAAAAUAUUUGAUAAAAGUGACAAAUUAGUAUCUAUUUUAACGGAAUCUGUUAAAUGCCACAAUCAAUUGAAAAAUUUGUCGUCGGCUGUACGCAAAAUUCAAGAAUCGACAAAUGAUAUCUUAACCACGUUCGUUUCAGAAGAAAAGAAAUCACUGGAAGAGGAUAUUCAAGAUGACGAUGUCAAUGAGGAGGAUGAAUUAUAUAAACCUAAAAAGCAGAAGAUUUCUUGACGAGUUGUUAUACUGACCAGAAAAAUUUCAAUAGUCUAAACAAGAAUUCUGCUCAAAUAUAGUGAAAACUUUAUCAUGGAAUUUUACAUAACUGCAUGAUUUUCAUAAAUUAUUUUAAUAGACGGCUACGAAAUCAAUACGUUAUCGAAAAAAUUCUAAUAAAUUAAUGUACAAUAAAAUAUAUAAAUCCAUAUUAAAUUUUUCCUAGUU
rnacentral:lncRNA from 1 species